GUUUGAUGAUGGUGGUUCUGAUGAAGAAGAUAUAUGGGAGAAAAACACAUUGCGUUUACACCAGAAUCCCAGAGACGAUCCAGCUCGGGCAGUACGGACAGUGAAGAAAGUACAGACUCUGAGGAAGAGGAUGGAACAAAACAAGACUUGUUUGAAUCAAAUACCAAUACAGAAGACAAAAUGGAAGUGGACUUAAAUGAACAUUGGUGUCCCUGGCAUCUGUGUCCAACAAGUUUUGCUCAUUGUGGAUAUUCUUCCAAAUCUGCCUCGAUUGGCAUUUCCUAUUAACAUUUUAGUUAGUCACAGAGCUUUCUUGUCAGCCUGUUUUAUGAAUGUAAAUGAUACUGAAAACAAAUAUUUGCUUAUGGGAAGAUAAAGUAUUUUGAAUGGGUACUCUAAGUUAGAGACCUAUUUUCAAAAUAAACUUCCUCCAAAAUUUUAAAUCCUAAUGGGAAAAUUUUUUAAAUGUUAAGUCCUCAUUUGUUUUUUGCAACAAACUUUGCAGCACUGUGCUAGUGAACUGAUAAAUUUAUUUUCUUUGUUGAAGCUAAGAAAAACGUGCAUAGUAAACAGAAGCUAAACAGUGAGAAGAACACUUAGUUUUAAAAAACUUUCCAAUUUUAGAAACAGGU